CUGUGGCCGCUAGGGUUUUUCUUCUUCUUCCUCUCUGGUUGCGGCGAUAGCUUCGUCUUCUGCGUGUUCUCCGAUUAAGGCGAAGUCGAAAGAGAGAAGUUGAGCCUUUGUCUCCGCAUCUGCUCUGUCUCGGAAAUCUCAUAUCCCGCGAUAUAGUCAAGGUGAGCUUAACCAGGAAAAAUUCAAUCGAUAAGCAGCAACAAACCUUCGUUUACUCGAAGCUAAAAGGUCAGUCACACUUACUCGAAG